rnacentral:rRNA from 1 species
UACAGAGGUCUCAAGCGUUGUUCGGAUUCAUUGGGCGUAAAGGGUGCGUAGGCGGCGCGGUAAGUCGGGUGUGAAAUCUCGGAGCUUAACUCCGAAACUGCAUUCGAUACUGCCGUGCUUGAGGACUGGAGAGGAGACUGGAAUUUACGGUGUAGCGGUGAAAUGCGUAGAUAUCGUAAGGAACACCGGUGGCGAAGGCGGCUCACUGGUCCGGUACUGACGCUGAGGUGCGAAAGCGUGGGGAGCAAACAGG